rnacentral:rRNA from 1 species
CUCAGUUCGGAUCGGAGUCUGNAACCCGACUCCGUGAAGCUGGAUUCGCUAGUAACCGCGCAUCAGCCAUGGCGCGGUGAAUACGUUCCCGGGCCUUGUACACACCGCCCGUCAAGCCAUGGAAGCCGGGGGUGCCUGAAGUGUGCAGCCGCAAGGAGCGCCCUAAGGUAAAACCGGUGACUGGGGCUAAGUCGUAACAAGGUAAC